GUUAUAGAGUAUAACAUGUUAUACUCUAUAUCCCCACGACUUGAUUAUUUUAUAACUGGAAGUUUGGACAUUUGACUCUCUUUACCCAUUUUGCCCAACUCUCCCAAGGUACCCCCAGCUCUGGCAAACCACCAAUCUGUGGUCUAUAUCUAUGAACUUUUUUUUUUUUUUAAUUUCAUACAUACAUGAGAUCAUACUGUAUUUGUCUUUCUCUGUCUGACAUAUCUCACUUAUUAUAAUACCCUGUAGGUCCAUCCAGGUUGUCAGAAAUGGCUAGAUUUGAUUCUUUUUAUGACUGAAUAAUAUUCCUGUGUGUGUGUACCACAUUUUCUUUAUUCACACAUCUAUUGAUGGAUGCUUAAAUUUUUUUAACAUCUCAGCUAUUGGAAAUAAUACUGCAAUGAAUAUAGGGGAGCAUAUAUCUUUUUGCGUUAAUAUAAUGUAGGUAUUUUCAAAUUUUAAAACAAGAGAAAUUUGACCUGAUAAAUUAUUUUUUUUAAUUAGCUAAUAUUUCGUUUUCCAAGGGGGGUAAAUGGAGUUAAGAGGAGCAGAAAAUAACAAACACAAAAACAAAAAAAGGGGGGAAAAGAAAGGAAGCCAGUUGGCUUCAGACAGAUAUGAAAUUACCACUGUAAAGCUUUAUUUUGUCUUCUCUAUAAGGAGACAAAAGAAAGUUAAGGUGUUGAAAACAGAUUUUUAACAUACACGUACAGAAAAGAGAAUGGCUGCACUCUUGGAUAGUAACUCAGGUCCUUGAUAAUAUUAUCAAGCCAUGCAGUUUAAAAGCCAGUAUUGCUUAACUCUAAUUUAUGGAAGCGAAGGAGGGAUAAGCCCUAUAUUCAGUUAACUAUUUUUUAAAGACAAAUCAGACCAACCAGUCUGCUCAUGAGGGUUUAUUUGCUUUCUGUUUUAAAGUACUUCUCAGUGAACCAUCUUGUUCAUGUCAAAAGCCCAUGUAGCAACUGCAACUCUGAAAUAUCCCUGGUGAGACUGUGUUUAUUCGGGAGAGAGGUGUACUAAUUCCUAUGAAAAUGUGAACACAUGAAGGAAACAAGCGGCCUACAAAAGGUGCAGUUUUAGAUUGUGAUGGCUAGGAAAUAUAUUCUGUUUUAUAAAAAUGGAUAAUUUCUGAUCCCCACAGCUUGGCCAGGGAUCAGUCAUCCCUGUUCAUAGGUCCAGACAGACACAACUAAAUGGACCAGUCUUCAGGGACACAAAGACAAGAGGGAGGCAGAACUCUUGCUCUGAUUUAGAAAUGGUGACCCAAAGCCAAGUUUGCCCUAGGGUCGCUGGUCUGAAGAGCCCUAAGUGUUUCAGCUCUUGGGCGGAGGUGAGUGGGGGUGUUAGCUUGAAAACAGACUUGUCAGACUUCUGUCUGCUCUCUCCCUAUGGAUCGUGUCUCUUAGGACAACACGGAAUAGCCAACAAGCUAACAAGCAACAAAAGCAAAGGAUAGAAGACUAAAGACAAGCUUAUCAAAGAACACUAAUGUGAUCAGACAAUCAAAAAAAAAAUAAUUCCAAGAGCUCUUCUUCCAGGGGAAACAAAAUUAACACUGAAGCUUAAACAAAAUAUAGGAAUUCAGGUUAGCAUGAACACACACCCUAGCCCCGAGCAAGUGGCACUUUACCCAGAUGGAAUCACGGGAAGUCUCCGAUGGGCACCAUCUUACUGAGUUAAGUGUCUUGGUCCAAGGAAUGGUAGCUUUAGUGGAAUCUAUACUGCACUUUGGAAUCAGUCUGCACUUUGGUCUGUGCCCUCCAGCAGACACCACGAGGAACACACCUGUAGUUGAACAAAUUGGGGUUUUGCUCUUUGCAGCUUGGAAGACAUACACUGCGGGGAAAAUGUGGGGUCUCUGACUGAGAGGAUGUCAAAAAGGCUUUAUUACAGGUUUUCAGUUUGUGGUCACUGAUUUGCGGGCAUUGGCUAGGACUGUGUGCUGCUGCGGGUAGGGGUUAGUCUAUGAUUUGGUAGCUUCGUGCAUUUAAUAAGCUGUAAAGAAUAAGGUGAGGCCAUAGCUGUGACCGGGGACUCUGACUAACGCACAUCGGGCUGUUUGGGUAUUGCUGUGGUUUGGAUAACAUUUGUGCUUUUGGGUUCAGAACAUGAUUCCAGGGUAGUCUUAGUUUUGUUUUGAUUUUUCAGGGUCACAGAAUGGCCUUGUCUGGUGUUAAUUUGUAGCUGUCAGGCCAGCUCCCAGAAGCACCAAGGCCUGGCUGAUAGUAACAAGCUGUCAUGGGCUGCUCUCCCCUCUCUCAACAGCCAAAGAAAAUAAUGGGACACCCAGAAGAGGGCUUGCUGAGCUGUGGAAGUAGACAAGGACGCCUCAAGACAAAUGUUGACAGAGUCCAAGCACCGUGCAAAAGAGGGAGCUACUGCCUAUCGUAAGUCCCUAAAUAUGGCAACCUUUAUUAACUCCCAGAAAAGAAGUCCCAACUUUCAUAAUAGCAUGGCCUUUUCAUUUGUGAGUAGUACAUUGUAUAAAAUCAGGUAAGAUUUCAGAGCUACCUAUAUUCAUGUUUUCCCUUCCCUGCCUGAACUUUGGCUGUUACCAUCUUUCUCUACCUCAUUCCCCAUUUUAUUGGAGCCAAGUUUGCUGGGUGCAGUGGUAAGGGUGGAGUUGUCUGUUUUUCCUCAGACUCUAAUUUUUCUUGAGAUUCUACGGAUACAAACACUAUUGGAUUCUCAUUUUCCUCUGCUAUACAAAUCCUUAAAACACUUUUUUUUUUUUUUUGCAUCUCACAGCAUUCUUAAAGUGUUAAUUCUCCUAUUUCUCAGUUAUUUAUCUCCUGUAAAUGCAAUUCUUAACUAAAUUCUUACUAAAUAAGGAUUCAUUAGGGUAAAUUGCAAUAGUAGACAGCUUAUUUUUAGGAUUCAGAUGCCUAAUGAGGGGAGAUAACAUUUGAAUAGGAUAACAGGUCAAGGAAAAACAGUGUCUUGGGGGAAUCCAUGGUCCUUUCUUUGCAAACUUAUUAUUUUUUAAUGUUUUCUCUUUGGUUCCAGCACCAUUAAGGUCAUCGGUUGAUAUUUCAGAGAAAACAUUUCCAUUUUUUAAGAACUUUUAAAGGCUUUUAAAAUAUAAAAAGACUAUAAAGUUCUGAUGAAUUAUGUCUUCACUGGCGGAUAGCAUAUAAUGGCCAUCGGAUUAUUAUUUUUCCAAAUUGUUCACUAGCACAGGUUAAGUGAAUUUAAAUUCUUUUAAAAAAUUAGCAUUGAUAAAUACUGUAUUCAAGGUAUGAGACAAGUGAUAUAGACAUUGAUGCUUCUGUCUUGAAAUUUACAUAAGCACCCUGAGGGUAGGGACCUCAUCUGAUUCGGCUUGCCGCUGUUUUCCCAGCACCUAGCUCACAGCAGGUGCUCGGUGACUAUCUGCAGAAUAGUUGAUGACUCACAUGGCUUCCCAAGCCCUCAGGUAGCUCAUUCCAUCAAUCACUCUUUCCAUUCUCCAACCUGUCCCUCUCUCCUGGCUAGUAAGCAAACUUGAGCAUGCUGACCAACCAAAACCUCUGCUCACUCAGUCCUUAGCCACCUGUCCUCUUUCCUAUCUACUUUCCUUGACAGCCAAACUCAAAGGCAUCCUUAGAAAGAGAACUGUGGUAGGGAAAGUAAUUUUGGUCUCACGGAAGUCCUAGCGCCAACCUUUGCUAAAAGCCCUUAAUUCCAGGAAAAUAAAGAACAGGAAAAUUGCCCCACAGCUCGUUUAUAACCUCCUGAACCCAGGACUGAGUGUGUAGAUAUUUUAUCUACACCUCUGCUCAGUGACAGCUUUGAGUUCUGGAGUUCUGUAAGACGGCCUGUCCUCCAAAUUAGUUCUGGCUGAGGAACAUUUUCAUGUAUUAGACCUGCUGUAGUUGGACUAGAAGACAUGUGUGCAGUUCUGUAUGGGGUGGUGAUUGUGGCACCUUGUGGCCUGAAGAAUGACUUGAAGCAAAAAAUGUUUAGUAUUAAGAAAUGUCUCCCAACUACGUUUAAAUAAAACAAGUUUAUGAAGAGCACAAACUAGAAUAUGCAAAUGAGAAUUGAAUCUAAACAGAACUUUGGAGGUCAUCUAGGGCUUUAUGCUGACUCCACACCAUGGAAGAGUAUUUUUGUGGAUCCUUAAUUCAUGUUUUGUACCUUAAAGCCCAGGAAAAAGGGUAAAAGGAAUUUCAAAAUGACUUUAAGGGGUAAUUAAUGCAUAAUAAAGUGACACCUUGAGAAGCAAACAGUAUUGAUCCAUAUUAUCUGAUUAAGGAUUUGUAUCAAGCUUAGCAGUGGCCCAUUUUUUGGAAAUCACAAUGUCAAUCACAAUCAUGACAACAAAUGCCUACUCAGAAUCUACCCAAAUUAUGAACUGCUGAUUCCCCUUUCCUGUGAAUACAGCUAGCAUAUGAAAGUGUCAGAUUUUACAAUUGACUUUUCAGAAAAUAAAACAAGCAAUACUAGGAAAUGACUCUAUGAUAAACUGUGAACAGCUUUCUUAAUGUGAAACAGAAAUCUCAGAAAAAAUAUAAAUUUCAAGCAAGAACAUUAAAAAUAUUGCAGAACAAAUACCAAAGAAUGAUUGUUUACAUUUAAAUUAUAAUAUUGACUUGAUGAUGAUAUAAUUGUGUUCCAUCCCUGCAUCUAAAUGGUAAAAAAUUCAAUUCACUUACUGGCCUGUAAUGAUUAUACUUUAAAAAAAAAAAAAAAAAAAAACCAGGAAAAAAACAAUCCAAAAUGAUCUAUAGACUGCUUUGACAGGACUUGCUUUAAUCUCAGA